rnacentral:rRNA from 1 species
UUCUAUGGCUAAUACAUGCGCAAAUAUCUUUUUUCGCAAGAAAGAGGAUAGUGUUUAUUAGAUACAGAACCAAUACACCAUCUGUUAACAGCAGGUGGUGUAAAAAAGGUGAUUCAUAGUAACCGAACGGAUCGCAUUAUGGUCAUUUUAUAUGGCUGGCGAUAGAUCAUUCAAGUUUCUGACCUAUCAGCUUUCGACGGUAGUGUAUUGGACUACCGUGGCAGUGACGGGUAACGGGGAAUUAGGGUUCGAUUCCGGAGAGGGAGCCUGAGAAACGGCUACCACAUCUAAGGAAGGCAGCAGGCGCGCAAAUUACCCAAUCCUGACUCAGGGAGGUAGUGACAAGAAAUAACAACACUGGAAAUUUUAUUUCUAGUGAUUGGAAUGAUGGGAAUUUAAACCCCUUUCAGAGUAACAAUUGGAGGGCAAGUCUGGUGCCAGCAGCCGCGGUAAUUCCAGCUCCAAUAGCGUAUAUUAAAGUUGUUGCAGUUAAAAAGCUCGUAGUUGGAUGUCUGCUGGAAGCAAUCAGUCCGCCCUAUUUGUAGGGUGUGCACUUGA